CCUCUGCCUACAAGCACCAACCUCCCAAGCUCACGGGUCAUUUUAUUUGACAAUGUCACAUCGAUUCACAUUUCACAAUGCACUCUUAACUUUAGAAUCUUAAUGUACUGGUUGAAAUUAGCUGCAUCUAUGGAGAAGAGUCUGCUCUUAACUAUGUCCUCCUUUGGAGAGAUUUCCUUGUUGACUGGAGGCAUCAGCAAGAUGUCAUGCUAUUCUGUUUCAGGGACUUCCUGUAGAAGCGCUCCUGAAGGCUGUACCUCGGUGCCACAAGCUCUACCUCCUGCUUCCUCUGUGCUACCUCUUCUCCCAGACCCACCACACCCGAAGAAAUGCAGCCCUGAACUACAUGCAGCAGCGAGGACCGUGCCCUGCCUGAUUCAGCGUACACAGCCUCAAUAAGCUGGUGCCCUGAGCCCAAAAGAGCUGACCCAAAGCUAAGGCCUGGGCAGAGUACUGGUACCUGAGGGGGAGCAGUAAGGGUGAUUCCAAAAAACUAGGCCUUUGCUGCCAGGAACACAUACUGGAAGACUCAGCCUGUCGCCUUCCGGACUCUCAAGUGCCCUGAAAUUUAACCUUGGCGAUGAGGAACCCAUGGCCCAAGACUGCUGAAACCCUGGGCCAAGUUCUCAUAAAGUGACUCAGUCACCCCUUGCAAUGAGAAAGUGCACUUCAGCACAAUUAAGAGUCAUUUCAUGUCACGGAGAUACACAAACAGCUGGAAACAUGAAUGUUAACUCUACCACUGCCAAAUUUCCACUUGAAGCCACACACUGGAAUUUCCCCUUUGCUAACCUGGAUCUCUCUGUGCCUCCAAGUACUGCACACCCAGGGAGACAGUCAAGCUGUUUGGAGGGCAGAAACUGAGCUCAUGUCCAGUAUUCUUCAAGGUUCCCAGCAGUACAAGUAGGAGAAAAGCUAAUUCCUUGGUUCUGGGGAAAGUGAAGUGGGUGCACUGGUCCUGUCUCCCCCCUUGAGAAACAUUUAAAACAGAGGCACAGACUCAAGGAGAGUGCCUAAACAUAA